UACGGGAGGCAGCAGUGGGGAAUAUUGCACAAUGGGCGCAAGCCUGAUGCAGCCAUGCCGCGUGUAUGAAGAAGGCCUUCGGGUUGUAAAGUACUUUCAGUCGUGAGGAAGGUGUUAAGGUUAAUAACCUUAGCAAUUGACGUUAGCGACAGAAGAAGCACCGGCUAACUCCGUGCCAGCAGCCGCGGUAAUACGGAGGGUGCGAGCGUUAAUCGGAAUUACUGGGCGUAAAGGGCACGCAGGCGGUUAAUUAAGUUGGAUGUGAAAUCCCCGGGCUUAACCUGGGAAUGGCAUUCAAGACUGGUUAGCUAGAGUCUUGUAGAGGGGGUAGAAUUCCAUGUGUAGCGGUGAAAUGCGUAGAGAUGUGGAGGAAUACCGGUGGCGAAGGCGGCCCCUGGACAAAGACUGACGCUCAUGUGCGAAAGCGUGGGGAGCGAAACAGGAUUAGAUACC
rnacentral:rRNA from 1 species